UAGACAUUGCCUUGGGGGAAAUCAUAGUCGCAUUAUUAGUAAAGGCCUUAAGGUUUGGUAGUUAUUUAUGAUGGCUUUUAUGCCAUACUGAUUGUGUUAUUUAACUUCCGUUGUGAAUACUCUGUAUUGAGUAUGAUUGCUUGUUUAAACAUUGAAUGUGUGCUGUGUGUGUUGAUUUUUGUUGAGGAUUUGGAUGGUUGAUUGUUAGAAAACCC
rnacentral:lncRNA from 1 species